UAAAAAUUUAUUAAUGGUUUUAUAGUUAAUUUUUUGUUUUAAGGUUAAUUAUUUAUAUUAGUAGAUUUUUUUUUUUAAUUUGUUUAAUAAUUUGGAUCAAUGAUUUUUUAGAAAUUCAUUUUAUGAUUAAUAAAGUUUGUGCCAGCAAUUGCGGUUACACAUACAAUCAAAUUAGUUUUUUUUUAGUUUUAAAAAAUUGCGUUUUUUAUUUUUUUUAAAAAUUUUUGAGUGAAAUUUGGAUUUUUUUGUAUUUAAUUAGGUUUAGAUUUAUUAGUUAAGUUUAUGAAUAAACUAGAAUUAGAUACUCUAUUAUUUUUAUUUAUUUGUUUUGAAGUUAGUAUUAAUUAUUAUUUAGAAAGUUAAAUUUUUUGGCAGUGUUUUAGUCUUUUCAGAGGAACUUGUUCUGUAAUUGAUAGUCCACGAUAAUAUUUACUUUUAUUAUUCUUGAAUAUCGUUGUUUGUGAGGUUUUUCAAGGAAUAGAAAUUUCUUUUUUUUUAAAAAAUUUGAUUUCAGAUCAAGAUUCAGAUGUAUAAAAGAAGAAAUGAGUUACGUUGAAUUUAUUUUUGGUUUUUGAAUUUUAUAAUUUUAGAUAAAUAGGAUUUGAAAGUAAUUUUUUAUUUUUAUAAAAGGUGAUUUUGCUCUAGAAUGUGUACAUAUUGCCCGUCACUUUCAUUUUAAUGAAAGAAGUCGUAACAAAGUAGAUGUACUGGAAAGUGUAUCUAGAAACAA
rnacentral:ncRNA from 1 species